AUUGAACGCUGGCGGCAUGCCUUACACAUGCAAGUCGAACGGCAACAGGUUAAGCUGACGAGUGGCGAACGGGUGAGUAAUGCAUCGGAACGUGCCCGAUCGUGGGGGAUAACGCAGCGAAAGCUGCGCUAAUACCGCAUACGAUCUGAGGAUGAAAGCGGGGGACCGUAAGGCCUCGCGCGAUCGGAGCGGCCGAUGUCAGAUUAGGUAGUUGGUGGGAUAAGGCUCACCAAGCCGACGAUCUGUAGCUGGUCUGAGAGGACGACCAGCCACACUGGGACUGAGACACGGCCCAGACUCCUACGGGAGGCAGCAGUGGGGAAUUUUGGACAAUGGGCGAAAGCCUGAUCCAGCAAUGCCGCGUGCAGGAAGAAGGCCUUCGGGUUGUAAACUGCUUUUGUACGGAGCGAAAAGGCUCUCUCUAAUACAGGGGGCUCAUGACGGUACCGUAAGAAUAAGCACCGGCUAACUACGUGCCAGCAGCCGCAGUAA
rnacentral:rRNA from 1 species